CUGCACAACACAGAUUUCUAUAUCAUUGCAAUUAUCUUCAACAAAUAGAUUAAUUGCAUUUUAAAUGAGGCUUUUUGGAGGUAUGGCUAAUUCUGGAGACUUAACCCAUCUCAAUGUGCACUCAAAAAAGGGAACUCUGUGAAUUGUUGAAUGAAAUAAACGUACCUACAACAAAAUUAAUUAAUAUAUUUGUGUUGUCAUUUUAAACAUAUCACACUUUAGCAAGUCUAACUUAAAAUUUAGACUUGUAAAAGUCACAUAUCCCACUUUGUGUCAGACAACAUAACAGGGUUGAGUGAAUUCAACAAUUCAAACUUUCCCUUUAUAAAGUCACAUAUUUUUUAUAAAAGCCGUUAAAAGGUUCGCGCAUGCUCAGAACCUCACCCUGAAAAAAAAACGAAAGUGGUGGCGCUACCCGCGACAACUCCGCUCUUCCAUAAGGAACUACCCCAACAAUUAUCACUCUUCUGGUUCCAGUCACAUCAUGUUCUCCAGCAGGCCUAUUGUCUGUCAAGUACAAGCCGUUCCUCGACUUUCCUCAUCUUGUUUGUAAGAAGUGUAAUUGGACGAGACUUUACAGACAGCGAAUGAAGCAAACUACCACAGAACCUCAGAAAACAGACAUUUGGUCAAAUGUCUGCAAGGAAAGAAGCAUAUAAAAAAGAGGAUGACUGCGUACAUUGAAACCUUCAAGCAUGUGGGAAUACAUUUCCAGUCCCCUUCACUCUGCCAUGAAGAGAAUCAUCAAUAUCCAUCUCCUAUCAGUUCCCUUCAAAAUUACAGUCUGUGCUGUGUGAUGCGGCAGAGAAACCUGACAUUUCCCCCCUUCAUCCUUUCAUUCAUCGGGCGACAUAUUGUCAUGGCAACCACGGAGACAGGCACAUCCAUCUUCCAGGACAAAAUGGCACAUGAGGUUUCUGAUAGUUCGUAGUGUGUGGGGAAAACCUCAUCAUGUGAAAGGAAAAACAGUUAUAAUAUCAAUAGAUGCAGCUGUUACUGCGGUGCUCCACUGAUGACGCGUUCCUGUUUCAGAGCCUUUCCUUUAUGACUCUACACUGAGAUGAAACAUACAUGUUGUCAAGAGCAAAUCCUUGAGUCACAGUUGACAGUAUUUACAUUUUAUCUGCCAGCUUUACAGAGAAAGUCCUAUCCAUACUGUGGGGUAUAACUGCAAUGGCUGAUACUACAACAGAAAUUUGGUACUUUAUUCUCUCAAAAAUUGUAUGGAUUUGCUUAAAGACUAUUACAUUUGAAUGAGGAAGUCAAAUUAUCUACCGAGAUACUAAAGAGCUUGCUAAUAAUCCCACUUUUGGGCACUCAUAGACUGUGUAUUGAGCAUUGAACUUUCAUCCCAAACUGGUCAGCUGCUCUUUUAGUAUACAUAACAAGAAUUUGACAUCUCAACAAAAUGAGCUUACUUUGUUGUGACGCAGUAGCAGAUUCUAAAUUGUGCACCCUUCAUCCCAAUACACUAACACUAUACAAAACAGCGGCACAUCAUAGACUACAGACUAAUGCCUAUAUAUCCUAUAUUACAAGAACUGAUGUUUCCCAAAACAUGCUUUGUUUCUAAAUGUCUAGGCCCUCAUAAAAUGUUUUUAGACCCACCAACAUACAUGACAAGAUAAAAAACAACAUGACAGCUGAUUUGAAAAAUGGAAUAAAUUCUAGAAAUUAA